GUCGUGAGAUGUUGGGUUAAGUCCCGCAACGAGCGCAACCCUUGUCAUUAGUUGCUACAUUCAGUUGGGCACUCUAAUGAGACUGCCGGUGACAAACCGGAGGAAGGUGGGGAUGACGUCAAGUCCUCAUGGCCCUUAUGGGUAGGGCUUCACACGUAAUACAAUGGCGCGUACAGAGGGUUGCCAAGGAGCGAUCUGGAGCCAAUCCCGCAAAGCGCGUCGUAGUCCGGAUUGCAGUCUGCAACUCGACUGCAUGAAGUCGGAAUCGCUAGUAAUCGCGGAUCAGCAUGUCGCGGUGAAUACGUUCCCGGGUCUUGUACACACCGCCCGUCACACCAUGGGAGUGGGUUUCACCAGAAGCCGGUCGCUUAACCGCAAGGAUGGCGCCGACCACGGUGAGAUUCAUGACUGGGGUGAAGUCGUAACAAGGUAGCCGUAUCGGAAGGUGCGGCUGGAUCACCUCCUUUCUAGAGAAAAGCGCUUCCCAGCGCCCACCAUCUAUCGGCUGUUGCCCUCAAGCGCAGCAGCGCAACGAACGACCCGGGCGGGUCUGUAGCUCAGUUGGUUAGAGCACCGUCUUGAUAAGGCGGGGGUCGAUGGUUCGAAUCCAUCCAGACCCACCAACCAACGCGUCCCGCGCAUCCGGAGGACAAUAAGCACGCGCGGGGCCAUAGCUCAGCUGGGAGAGCGCCUGCUUUGCAAGCAGGAGGUCACCGGUUCGAUCCCGGUUGGCUCCACCAGCAUCACACAGAGGAAACAGCAAUCAACGCCGCACGCGGCGUUGAUUGGUGCUUCUUCGAAGCCGGGGGUAGCCCCCUCGGGGACGGAGUCGAACACCGUCGGCUGCUCUUUAACAAUCUGGGAUAGAAGGUAGUUGUCUUUUCGAAAGGGCGUUGUGAUGACGCUUGAGUAGGAAGGACACUGGGUUAUGUAUUGCAUCGUGUCCUCACUCGUUCAUGGGUGAGGUGCACAAACUUAAGCGUGAGAGUUAAACCUAUGGCGUUGUGAUGGCGUGGGCGACUUUGGCCUGCGUCGCUUCUGCUUCUAAAAGGCGGAGGCAGCAAGGUUAUAGGGUCAAGCGAAUAAGUGCAUGUGGUGGAUGCCUUGGCAAUGAUAGGCGACGAAGGACGUGACAGCCUGCGAUAAGCUGCGGGGAGCCGGCAAAUGGGCUUUGAUCCGCGGAUUU
rnacentral:sRNA from 1 species